rnacentral:rRNA from 1 species
CCUACGGGAGGCAGCAGUGAGGAAUAUUGGUCAAUGGACGAAAGGCUGAACCAGCCAAGCCGCGUGAAGGAUGAAGGUUCUAAGGAUUGUAAACUUCUUUUAUCAAGGCACAAAACCAGGCACGUGAGCCUUACUGCAUGUACUUUAAGAAAAAGGAUCGGCUAACUCCGCGCCAGCAGCCGCGGUAAUACGGAGGAUCCGAGCGUUAUCCGGAUUUAUUGGGUUUAAAGGGAGCGUAGGCGGGGUGUUAAGUCAGCUGUGAAAGGUUGGGGGUCAACCGUAGAAGUGCAGUUGAUACUGGCAGUCUUGAGUAGUGGAGAGGUAGGUGGAAUUCGUGGUGUAGCGGUGAAAUGCUUAGAGAUCACGAAGAAUCCCGAUUGCGAAGGCAGCAUACUAGAAGCGAACUGACGCUGAGGCACGAAAGCGUGGGUAUCGAACAGGAUUAGAUACCCCUGUAGUC